rnacentral:rRNA from 1 species
AGGGUGCAAACGUUGCUCGGAAUCAUUGGGCGUAAAGCGCACGUAGGCGGAUUGUUAAGUCAGGGGUGAAAUCCUGGAGCUCAACUCCAGAACUGCCUUUGAUACUGGCGAUCUUGAGUCCGGGAGAGGUGAGUGGAACUGCGAGUGUAGAGGUGAAAUUCGUAGAUAUUCGCAAGAACACCAGUGGCGAAGGCGGCUCACUGGCCCGGUACUGACGCUGAGGUGCGAAAGCGUGGGGAGCAAACAGG